UUUCUAAGUAUUGCAAGAAUUAAACUGUGGAAGAAUCUCUGGAAAUGAAAACCUAUCAAGUUUAAAGUAAUUUGUGGUCUCCAAACCUGGAAGUGCUGGGGCGAGAGGUGAGAGGAGGGAAGAAGCAAAGCAUUGAGAGACCAUUUUGGAAGCCGUCCUGUUUUCCCCAGGCACAGCCUAGAAGGGUGAGAAGCACCAAGUUUCUGCUGCUUCUGUGAGCUGUUCUCACCUGCCCACACCUGAGCAUGCCAAGCAGUGAGUGCCCAUCACCGUCAAACAGAUCCAACUAAUGUGUGGAACAACGGCAAGAUAACUGUACUUCCACUAUCACGGGAUACUGACAAACUGCA
ensembl:lncRNA